AGCUAUAAACCCAGCCUCACCUUCUUUUCCCACUCCCUUUUUGUUAAAUAAAACAUUUUCUCAUCUUAGUAGAGGGGAUCAAAAAGAUAAUAAGCGCUUUACAAAUAGUACCGCAAGGGAAAAGUGAAAUAGCUCUGAAAUAGCCCUAAAGCACUAAACAGCAGAGAUUAACUCUCGUACCUUUUGCAUCAUGGUUUAACUAGUCCUGAUCAAGCAAAACGAAAUGUUAGUUUGACCCCCCGAAACUGGGCGAGCUACUUCGAAAUAGCUUACGAGCCAACCCGUCUCUGUUGCAAAAGAGUGGGAAAAUUUCCAAGUAGAGGUGAAAAGCCUACCGAGCCUAGAGAUAGCUGGUUAUUCAAGAAAAGAAUCUUAGUUCACCUUUAAGUUUCUCUAUUAUUCUUAUAAUCACCUUAAACUUAAAAGUUACUCAAAUAAGGCACAGCUUAUUUGAAGAAGGAUACAACCUAAAACUAAGGGUUAGCCUAUUUACUCUCCCUAAGUGGGCCUAAGAGCAGCCACCUUUCAAAAAGCGUUAAAGCUUAAUAAUAAUAAUCCCUCACAAUCUAAAACCCCUCUGCGAACCCUAUAUAUAGUACUGAAUAACCUUAUAAAGUUAUAAGAGAUAUUAUGUUAAAACUAGUAACAUGAAGCAGCCCUUCUCUUUAAUGCAAGCAAACACCAAAACGGACUAACCAUUGGUUUCUAACGUUCAUGAGCUCAACCUAGUAACACCCUUCGAAAACCCUAUGCCCAUAUCACGUUAACCUUACACUAGAGCAUUUCCAGAAAGAUGAAAAGAGAAAGAAGGAACUCGGCAAAUCUAGAUCCCGCCUGUUUACCAAAAACAUCGCCUCUUGAUAAUAAAUUUCUAUAAGAGGUCCAGCCUGCCCAGUGACAUUUUUAAACGGCCGCGGUACCCUGACCGUGCGAAGGUAGCAUAAUCACUUGUUCUUUAAAUGGGGACUAGUAUCAACGGCAUCACGAGGAUUUUACUGUCUCCUUUCUCUAAUCGGUGAAACUGAUCUCCCCGUGAAGAAGCGGGGAUAAAACUAUAAGACGAGAAGACCCCAUGGAGCUUUAAACCCAGUGACAUCUCAAACACCCCAUCUCCCCGAAAGUUUUUAUGCAUUGUCCACUGGUUUUAGGUUGGGGUGACCGCGGAGUAUAACCUAACCUCCACAGCGCACGAAGCUUCCUUCUUAUCCAAGAGCCACAUCUCUAAGAAUUAAUAUAUUGACGUAAGAUGAUCCAAUAAUUUUGAUCAAUGAACCAAGUUACCCUGGGGAUAACAGCGCAAUCCAUUUCUAGAGCCCCUAUCGACAAAUGGGUUUACGACCUCGAUGUUGGAUCAGGGUAUCCCAGUGGUGCA
rnacentral:rRNA from 1 species